rnacentral:rRNA from 1 species
GUGGGAGGGAGCUGUCGAAGGUGGGACUGGCGAUUGGGACUAAGUCGUAACAAGGUAGCCGUACCGGAAGGUGCGGCUGGAUCACCUCCUUUCUAAGGAGCACCU